rnacentral:rRNA from 1 species
GACGAACGCUGGCGGCGUGCUUAACACAUGCAAGUCGAGCGGUAAGGCCCCCUUUUGGGGGGUACACGAGCGGCGAACGGGUGAGUAACACGUGGGUGACCUGCCUUCAGCUCUGGGAUAAGCCUGGGAAACUGGGUCUAAUACCGGAUAUGACCUUUGCCUGCAUGGGUGGGGGUGGAAAGAUUUGUUUUGGCUGGGGAUGGGCCUGCGGUCUAUCAGCUUGUUGGUGGGGUGAUGGCCUACCAAGGCGACGACGGGUAGCCGGCCUGAGAGGGCGACCGGCCACACUGGGACUGAGACACGGCCCAGACUCCUACGGGAGGCAGCAGUGGGGAAUA